rnacentral:rRNA from 1 species
GCAAGUCGAGGGGCAGCAUAAAAGUAGCAUACUUGGUGGCGACCGGCGCACGGGUGAGUAACGCGUAUGCAACCUACCUAUCAGAGGGGAAUAACCCGGCGAAAGUCGGACUAAUACCGCAUAAAACAGGGGCACCGCAUGGUGAUAUUUGUUAAAGAAAUUCGCUGAUAGAUGGGCAUGCGUUCCAUUAGGUAGUUGGUGAGGUAACGGCUCACCAAGCCGACGAUGGAUAGGGGAACUGAGAGGUUGGUCCCCCACACUGGUACUGAGACACGGACCAGACUCCUACGGGAGGCAGCAGUGAGGAAUAUUGGUCAAUGGGCGAGAGCCUGAACCAGCCAAGUCGCGUGAAGGAAGAAGGAUCUAUGGUUCGUAAACUUCUUUUGCAGGGGAAUAAAGUGCAGGACGUGUCCUGUUUUGUAUGUACCCUGAGAAUAAGGAUCGGCUAACUCCGUGCCAGCCGCCGC